UCAUAUCAUUGUGUUUUCUUCUGCUACUUAAUCUCAUAUUCUUGUGAUUAAUUCUUCUUUUCCACACCCUUUGAAUUUUUACAGACAUGGAAUCAACAAAUUUCUUUGCUGGAGUAUCGCUACUUCUGCUGCCUGAAGAAAACUGCUUUUGUCAAUCAUCUGGACUACUUGGGAGUGCAGGAAGCAUGGAUCUCUAGACCUUGGGUUCCUUCCCAUUUUUAUAAAUAUGCAUUCUUAAACUGGAUUUCCUUCUCUUUUGCAUUCAUUGGAGCUGUGAUCAGAAGAACUAA